AACGCACGAGACCUGCGGACCUGCGGAGGGAUCAUUAGUGAACGCCCUCGCGGGCUUAUAACUAUUCCAAACCUCUGUGAACCGUGCCCUUCGGGGCUAUUUUACAAACAUGGUGUAAUGAACGUCAUAUAUCAUAACAAAACAAAACUUUCAGCAAUGGAUCUCU
rnacentral:misc_RNA from 1 species